ACGGAAGGCAGCAGUGGUGAAUAUUGCACAAUGGGGGAAACCCUGAUGCAGCGACGCCGCGUGGGUGAUGAAGUAUUUCGGUACGUAAAGCCCUAUCAGCAGGGAAGAUAAUGACGGUACCUGACUAAGAAGCUCCGGCUAAAUACGUGCCAGCAGCCGCGGUAAUACGUAUGGAGCAAGCGUUAUCCGGAUUUACUGGGUGUAAAGGGAGCGCAGGCGGUUAAGUAAGUUGGAUGGGAAAAUCCGGGGCUCAACUCCGGACCUGCAUCCAAAACUGCAUAACUAGAGUAUCGGAGGGGCAAGCGGAAUUCUUAGUGUAGCGGUGAAAUGCGUAGAUAUUAGGAGGAACACCGGUGGCGAAGGCGGCUUGCUGGACGAAAACUGACGCUGAGGCUCGAAAGCGUGGGGAGCAAACAGGAUUAGAUACCCUGGUA
rnacentral:rRNA from 1 species